CCUACGGGAGGCAGCAGUGAGGAAUAUUGGUCAAUGGGCGGGAGCCUGAACCAGCCAAGUCGCGUGAGGGACGACGGUCCUAUGGAUUGUAAACCUCUUUUGUCGGGGAACAAAGGCGCCCACGGGUGGGCGGAUGAGUGUACCCGAAGAAAAAGCAUCGGCUAACUCCGUGCCAGCAGCCGCGGUAAUACGGAGGAUGCGAGCGUUAUCCGGAUCUAUUGGGUUUAAAGGGUGCGUAGGCGGACAGUUAAGUCAGCGGUAAAAAUUUGGUGCUCAACGGCGUAAAGCCGUUGAAACUGGCAGUCUUGAGUGGGCGAGAGGUAUGCGGAAUUCCUAGUGUAGCGGUGAAAUGCGUAGAUAUUAGGAGGAACACCGGUGGCGAAGGCGGCUUACUGGACUGUAACUGACGUUGAGGCUCGAAAGCGUGGGGAUCAAACAGGAUUAGAUACCCGUGUAGUC
rnacentral:rRNA from 1 species